rnacentral:rRNA from 1 species
UACGGAGGGGGCCAGCGUUGUUCGGAAUUAUUGGGCGUAAAGGGCGCGUAGGCGGUCGGGUAAGUCUGACGUGAAAUCCCUUGGCUCAACCAAGGAACUGCGUCUUAAACUGCCCGGCUUGAGUCCGGGAGAGGGUAGUGGAAUUCCCAGUGUAGCGGUGAAAUGCGUAGAUAUUGGGAGGAACACCGGUGGCGAAGGCGGCUACCUGGACCGGUACUGACGCUGAGGCGCGAAAGCUAGGGUAGCAAACAGG